CUUCAUCCUGCCCUCAUUGUACAUGCUGUGUGUAUUUGUUUUGUGUACACAGCGCAUGCAAUGUGGACAGGAUGGAG